AAGGAAUUACUGGGGAAGUUGGUGGUAGAGGGAGGCUAUUGACAUGUCACAGCAAGAUGCUCAAAAAUGUAGAGCACAUGGAGAAGAUUGCCAUGCUGGCUUUCCAUCCAGUUAAGAUGCACAGCUGCUAUGAGAAGGUGGUGAACCUGAGCCUUGAGGGUCUUGCAGCAACAGUUUGACGUGAGCAGCCCGUCAGUGUUUGUCCAAAGGGCCCAGAUCCCCAUGAGAGAGAUGUUUGAGCAGAUCCUUCAUCAGAGUCUCGAGUCUCAGGGUACAGAGGAGCUGUGUAAGAUCAUCCAGCACUGCCAGGACAGAGUCAUUAAGCACAUGGAGAAGAUUGCCAUGCUGGCUUUCCAUCCAGUUAAGAUGCACAGCUGCUAUGAGAAGGUGGUGAACCUGAGCCUUGAGGGUCUUGCAGCAACAGUUUGACGUGAGCAGCCCGUCAGUGUUUGUCCAAAGGGCCCAGAUCCCCAUGAGAGAGAUGUUUGAGCAGAUCCUUCAUCAGAGUCUCGAGUCUCAGGGUACAGAGGAGCUGUGUAAGAUCAUCCAGCACUGCCAGGACAGAGUCAUUAAGGUAAUACACAAAGAAAACAGGCUUGUGCAUCAAAUUCUUGCAUAACAUCUACAUUAAUAUCUAAUAAUAUUACAUCUGGCAUACUCCAGCCCUGGGAGUGAAACUUUUGGUCUGGCCUUGUUUUAGUGUUAAUGAAAAUUCAGGUUCACCUUUAUCAAUUUAUUAAUUUUUUAACAAAGAGUCCAGGAUACCGGGCAAUAUCCCAGCUUAAUCCCUUCUGUGCAUGGUCCUCUGAUAUUUUCAAGCCUCAACUUGCC